rnacentral:rRNA from 1 species
UACGAAGGGUGCAAACGUUGCUCGGGAUUAUUGGGCGUAAAGCGCCCGUAGGCGGUUUGUUAAGUCGGAUGUGAAAUCCCUCGGCUCAACUGAGGAAGUGCAUCCGAAACUGGCAGGCUUGAGUACUAAAGAGGGUCGCGGAAUUCCCGGUGUAGAGGUGAAAUUCGUAGAUAUCGGGAGGAACACCGGUGGCGAAGGCGGCGACCUGGGUAGAUACUGACGCUGAGGUGCGAAAGCGUGGGGAGCAAACAGG